CUCUUCAGGGCAGGGUGCAAUUCCCUACCGGUGGUACAGCCCACGAGCCGCAAGGCAUGAUUCGGUGAAACUCCGAAGCCGACAGUACAGUCUGGAUGAAAGAAGAUG
rnacentral:ncRNA from 1 species